UACGAAGGGGGCUAGCGUUGCUCGGAAUCACUGGGCGUAAAGGGUGCGUAGGCGGGUCCUUAAGUCAGGGGUGAAAUCCUGGAGCUCAACUCCAGAACUGCCUUUGAUACUGAGGAUCUUGAGUUCGGGAGAGGUGAGUGGAACUGCGAGUGUAGAGGUGAAGUUCGUAGAUAUUCGCAAGAACACCAGUGGCGAAGGCGGCUCACUGGCCCGAUACUGACGCUGAGGCACGAAAGCGUGGGGAGCAAACAGG
rnacentral:rRNA from 1 species